GGGCACUUGGCACAGUGGUAGCGCGCACGCUUCGCAUGCAUCUUCCAGGUCAUCUGCGUGAGGUCCAGGGUUCAAUCCCCUGAGUGUCCA